rnacentral:rRNA from 1 species
UAACUUUCAACAACGGAUCUCUUGGCUCUCACAUCGAUGAAGAACGCAGCGAAAUGCGAUAAGUAAUGUGAAUUGCAGAAUUCAGUGAAUCAUCGAAUCUUUGAACGCAGAUUGCGCCCAUUGGUAUUCCGAAGGGCAUGCCUGUUUGAGUGUCUU